GGCGGGUGAGCAACUUGAUCAACCAGACAUCCCACUCUUCUGGAAGGAGCAGGAGGAGGAAGCCCAGGCCGAUAAUGAUGAUGGCGAUGACCCGGACCCCGUUGAAGACUAUCUGACUGGUGUAGUGAUCGACCACUGUGGGAGACAGAGCACCGGUUACUCAGUCUGUGGACGUGGAGAUACGUCUGAGCAUCCGACAGGGCAGGCCAGGGCCACCUGAACCUCUCAACACCUGUCUCCUCUGAGGCCUUGGGCUUGGGUGUCGCCAUCUGAAUCUAAUCCAGCACUAAGAAGCUAAAGGGGCAGGCACAGCCUUCAAUUGUGAGGAGAUACAUUGACCAAAGGGCUGGUGAAUGGGGACCUCAGACAUCUAGGAUGGGGUGGGCAGUGCUGGCCUGUGCCUAGUGUUCUGAGGUCUCUUCACACUGUGGCCACGAGGCACCUGGGAGAGUCUGAUCAAGGUACACUGAGGACAAUUCCAAGAGACAUCAGCGUGGGAUACGUGACAGCAAUUCCAAAAUUUAAUACAAUAUUGAAUGCUGAAAUAGAGAAUUUUGAAGACUGGAGUUACCCAUAACUGUCCUAUCCUUGACUUCUGGGCUGGCUCAUUUGGCCUCAGUUCUCAGACAGUCAGGAGGUAGGCAUUACAAGGAGUCCUGUCAUUCCAUGAACUUGAGCUUUUUUCUUGAAGGCGCAGGACUGGAAUUAGGAGGAGCAUUUUAUCAAGUCUCAGGGGGCUAGGGAAAUGGCUCAACGCUUAAGAGCACUGAUUGCUCUUCCAGAGGUUCUGAGUUCAAUUCCCAGCAACCACAUGGUGGCUCACAACCAUCUGUAAUGGGAUCAGAUGCCCUCUUCUGGUUUGUCUGAAGACAGCUACAGUGUACUCGCAUACAUAAAAUAAAUAAAUAAGAAAAUAAAAAUAAACCUUAAAAAAAAAACCGAGAAAA